rnacentral:rRNA from 1 species
CCUACGGGAGGCUGCAGUGAGGAAUAUUGGUCAAUGGACGAGAGUCUGAACCAGCCAAGUAGCGUGAAGGAUGACUGCCCUAUGGGUUGUAGACUUCUUUUAUAUGGGAAUAAAACAGGGUAUGCAUACCCUCUUGUAUGUACCAUAUGAAUAAGGAUCGGCUAACUCCGUGCCAGCAGCCGCGGUAAUACGGAGGAUCCGAGCGUUAUCCGGAUUUAGUGGGCUUAAUGGGUGCGUAGGUGGAAUGUUAAGUCAGUUGUGAAAGCUUGCGGCUCAACCGUAAAAUUGCAGUUGAAACUGGCUGUCUUGAGUACAGUAGAGGUGAGCGGAAUUCGUGGUGUAGCGGUGAAAUGCUUAGAUAUCACGAAGAACUCCGAUGGCGAAGGCAGCUCACUGGACUGCAACUGACACUGAUGCUCGAAAGUGUGGGUAUCAAACAGGAUUAGAUACCCCUGUAGUC